rnacentral:sRNA from 2 species
UAUCUCUCCGUACGGGGAAGGAUGAGAAGCUUCGACUAAGGUUCGAUUCGAGCGAAAGCGAGAAAGCGUUGCCGUAGGCAACGACCCGAAGGGCGAAGCGCGCAGCGCUGAGUCAUCCU